rnacentral:rRNA from 1 species
CAGCCGCCGCGGGAAUACGUAGGGUGCGAGCGUUGUCCGGAAUUACUGGGCGUAAAGAGCUCGUAGGCGGUUUGUCGCGUCGUCUGUGAAAUUCUGCAGCUUAACUGUAGGCGUGCAGGCGAUACGGGCAGACUUGAGUACUACAGGGGAGACUGGAAUUCCUGGUGUAGCGGUGAAAUGCGCAGAUAUCAGGAGGAACACCGGUGGCGAAGGCGGGUCUCUGGGUAGUAACUGACGCUGAGGAGCGAAAGCGUGGGUAGCGAACAGGAUUAGAUACCCCGGUAGUCCCUGUCUCUUAUAA